GCAUCAGUAGUCUAGUGGUUAUGAUGCGGCCUUCCCACCUUUCUGAGGAAAAUUGGCUAAAGCCGAUUGGGAUUAGGCCGAGGUCCUGGGUUCGAACCCCAGCUGUUGCA